rnacentral:rRNA from 1 species
CCUACGGGGCGCUGCAGUGAGGAAUAUUGGUCAAUGGACGAGAGUCUGAACCCGCCAAGUAGCGUGAAGGAUGACUGCCCUAUGGGUUGUAAACUUCUUUUAUAUGGGAAUAAAACGUUCCACGUGUGGGAUUUUGUAUGUACCAUAUGAAUAAGGAUCGGCUAACUCCGUGCCAGCAGCCGCGGUAAUACGGAGGAUCCGAGAGUUAUCCGGAUUUAUUGGGUUUAAAGGGAGCGUAGGUGGAUUGUUAAGUCAGUUGUGAAAGUUUGCGGCUCAACCGUAAAAUUGCAGUUGAAACUGGCAGUCUUGAGUACAGUAGAGGUGGGCGGAAUUCGUGGUGUAGCGGUGAAAUGCUUAGAUAUCACGAAGAACUCCGAUUGCGAAGGCAGUUCACUGGACUGCAACUGACACUGAGGCUCGAAAGUGUGGGUAUCAAACAGGAUUAGAUACCCCAGUAGUC